UACGAAGGGGGCUAGCGUUGUUCGGAGUUACUGGGCGUAAAGGGCGCGUAGGCGGCUUGACAAGUCAGGCGUGAAAGCCCCGGGCUUAACCCGGGAAUUGCGCUUGAUACUGUCUGGCUAGAGUCCGGGAGAGGAUGGCGGAAUUCCCAGUGUAGAGGUGAAAUUCGUAGAUAUUGGGAAGAACACCGGUGGCGAAGGCGGCCAUCUGGACCGGUACUGACGCUGAGGCGCGAAAGCGUGGGGAGCAAACAGG
rnacentral:rRNA from 1 species